CUAACACUGCAAGUGAUAUAAGAGUGCUUUGAAUGUAUGACACAGAUGUGACCUGUGUCUUAACCAGAAGAAACAAAAGUUGUGCCGGUGUUUGUGUUGUAGCUAAUGUGCACUGUAUCUGCCUGUGAAUAAGGGCUGGUUUACACAAACAUUAGUUGGACACACACACACACACACACACACACUUGCAAUUGAAAUUAUUCAACCCCCAUUGCAGAUGUAAGACUGGAGAAGCCAGUAUAAAUUGUAUUUUCAACUGAAUUUGGGGGAACCACUAGAAGCAUCCGUUGCGUUGAGCUAUUUCCGCUUUCGUUGGACUUGCUUAUUGCAAACGGCGGAACGUCUGUAAACCUUGAUAAUAAGCCCAAUUUGCAACGGGGGUUGGAUAAUUUCAGUUGCACCCACACGCACCCCUACAUGGAGGGACAUUGGAAUAACCACAAUUUCUACGACGUUUUCAUUAGUAUUUUGUUUUGAGAUUUGGGCCUGCCAUGUUCUUCACAUGCUGGGAGGUAAAUGCAUGCAUUCAUUUUA